GAAUCCGCYAAGGAGUGUGUAACAACUCACCUGCCGAAUGAAGUAGCCCUGAAAAUGGAUGACGCUUAAGCGGGUAGCCGAUACUACGCCGUCUAGAAAAACUAAUUUUUAGAUGAGUAGGGGGGCGUGGUGAUCGUAUCGAAGCACUGCGUGCGAGCGCGUGUGGAACGGUCACUAGUGCAGAUCUUGGUGGUAGUAGCAAAUAUUCAAGUGAGAACCUUGAAGGGCGAAGCGGGGAAGGGUUCCAUGCGAACAUUGAUUGGGCAUGGGUGAGUCGUACCUAAGCCGAGUGGCAAUUGCUUACUCACGCGGCGAAAGGGAAGCGGGUUGAAAUUCCCGCACACGGAUGUGGAAGCGGCGACGCAUUACUGGGGCGGUGACGUUGGCAGUGGCGCUGGGCAGAGUUGUCUUUUCUGUUUAACCGCCUGACGCUUGCACUGUGGAAUCCGCUUGUCGGGAGAAACAGGCAAGGCACGGGUAGAGCGCCGGGCUUUUUCCGGCGUCCAGCUCGCCACUGACGGCCCUUGAAAAACUGUGCUCAGAUAUUAAAACUCCACGCCGUGGCGUACCGAUAACCGCAUCAGGUCCCCAAGGUGAACAGCCUCUGCUCGAUAUGAAAAAUGCAGGUAAGGGAAGUCGGCA
rnacentral:rRNA from 1 species